rnacentral:rRNA from 1 species
CAGCCGUAAACUAUGCUCGCUAGGUGUCAGGCAUGGCGCGACCGUGUCUGGUGCCGCAGGGAAGCCGUGAAGCGAGCCACCUGGGAAGUACGGCCGCAAGGCUGAAACUUAAAGGAAUUGGCGGGGGAGCACAACAACGGGUGGAGCCUGCGGUUUAAUUGGACUCAACGCCGGACAACUCACCGGGAACGACAGCAAUAUGUAGGCCAGGCUGAAGACUCUGCAUGACUAGCUGAGAGGUGGUGCAUGGCGUAGACGUCU